rnacentral:rRNA from 1 species
GCAUAUCAAUAAGCGGAGGAAAAGAAACUAACAAGGAUUCCCCUAGUAACUGCGAGUGAAGCGGGAAAAGCUCAAAUUUAAAAUCUGAUAGUCUUUGGCUGUCCGAGUUGUAGUCUGGAGAAGCGUCUUCCGCGUUGGACCGUGUACAAGUCUCCUGGAACGGAGCGUCAUAGAGGGUGAGAAUCCCGUCUUUGACACGGACUACCAGUGCUUUUGUGAUGCGCUCUCAAAGAGUCGAGUUGUUUGGGAAUGCAGCUCAAAAUGGGUGGUAAACUCCAUCUAAAGCUAAAUAUUGGCGAGAGACCGAUAGCGAACAAGUACCGUGAGGGAAAGAUGAAAAGCACUUUGGAAAGAGAGUUAAACAGUACGUGAAAUUGCUGAAAGGGAAACGCUUGAAGUCAGUCGCGUUUGCUAGGACUCAGCCUUGCUUCGGCUUGGUGCACUUCCUAGUAGACGGGCCAGCAUCACUUUUGGCUGCGGGAAAAAGAUCAGAGGAAUGUGGCACCUUCGGGUGUGUUAUAGCCUCUGGUUGUAUACCGUGGCUGGGAGUGAGGAUCUCAGCACGCCUUUAUGGCGGGGCUUCGGCCACCUUCGUGCUUAGGAUGCUGGCGUAAUGGCUUUAAACGACCCGUCUUGAAACACGGACCAAGGAGUCUAACAUGCCUGCGAGUGUUUGGGUGGAAAACCCGAGCGCGUAAUGAAAGUGAAAGUUGGGACCUCUGUCGUGGAGGGCACCGACGCCCGGACCAGACCUUCGGUGACGGAUCUGCGGUAGAGCAUGUAUGUUGGGACCCGAAAGAUGGUGAACUAUGCCUGAAUAGGGUGAAGCCAGAGGAAACUCUGGUGGAGGCUCGUAGCGAUUCUGACGUGCAAAUCGAUCGUCAAAUUUGGGUAUAGGGGCGAAAGACUAAUCGAACCAUCUAGUAGCU